AGAGUUUGAUCAUGGCUCAGGAUGAACGCUAGCGGCAGGCUUAAUACAUGCAAGUCGAGGGGCAGCAUGACUGUAGCAAUACGGUUGAUGGCGACCGGCAAACGGGUGCGGAACACGUACACAACCUUCCUUUAAGUGGGGAAUAGCCCGGGGAAACCCGGAUUAAUACCCCGUAACAUUAUGAAGUGGCAUCACUUUAUAAUUAUAGCUCAGGCGCUUAAUGAUGGGUGUGCGACUGAUUAGGUAGUUGGCGGGGUAACGGCCCACCAAGCCUGCGAUCAGUAACUGGUGUGAGAGCACGACCAGUCACACGGGCACUGAGACACGGGCCCGACUCCUACGGGAGGCAGCAGUAAGGAAUAUUGGUCAAUGGACGCAAGUCUGAACCAGCCAUGCCGCGUGAAGGAUGAAGGUCCUUUGGAUUGUAAACUUCUUUUAUUUGGGACGAAAAAGGAUCUUUUCAGAUCAACUGACGGUACCAGAUGAAUAAGCACCGGCUAACUCCGUGCCAGCAGCCGCGGUAAUACGGAGGGUGCAAGCGUUAUCCGGAUUCACUGGGUUUAAAGGGUGCGUAGGUGGGUCUGUAAGUCCGUGGUGAAAUCUCCAGGCUUAACUUGGAAACUGCCAUGGAUACUAUAAAUCUUGAAUACUGUGGAGGUUAGCGGAAUAUGUCAUGUAGCGGUGAAAUGCUUAGAUAUGACAUAGAACACCAAUUGCGAAGGCAGCUGACUACACAAAUAUUGACACUGAUGCACGAAAGCGUGGGGAUCAAACAGGAUUAGAUACCCUGGUAGUCCACGCCCUAAACGAUGGAUACUCGACAUUUGCGAUACACUGCAAGUGUCUGAGCGAAAGCAUUAAGUAUCCCACCUGGGAAGUACGAUCGCAAGAUUGAAACUCAAAGGAAUUGACGG
rnacentral:rRNA from 1 species